rnacentral:tRNA from 1 species
GACCCGUUGGCGCAGCGUUAGCGUGCCUGAUUCCAGAUUAGAAGGUUGGUUGUUCAAAUCACUCGCGGGUCA